CUUUUCUUGCUGACUGAUUCGACGACAGUAGAUAAGUUUGUGAAAUAAAAACAGCUGUUUCGCGAUACGCUUCGCUAUUGCUUGGUAUCAGACGUUACGGGUAUUACGUGUCGCGGAUGUAUAUGCCGUUGUAUUUUUAUACACAUAGCCACGGGAAUGAAAAUAAAUUAGAGGCUUACAGUCUCCUCGAAAAGUUCGCAUCGUUCAGAAUGUGUUAUUGUUCAUCACCGAAUUCGACUAACGCGUUAUUGCUUUACUUUUCAAACCGACCGUAACUUAUACAUUAAGAACCUUAUCGGACUAAAGACAGAAUAAAAAAUGUACUACUCUACGUUUUCAUUCACAGCGCACAUUAUAAAGGCAUACGUAUAUGCAGUUUACGCAUCGACAAUUAUUCAGUUGCGCGAGAAACGUAUGAAUGAUUCGCGAAAGAAAUUGUUUGCAAAGCUUCGAGCGCGUAAUCGAAAGGCGGAUGGAGGCAGACAAGUGGAUAACUUUAUAUUAUAUAAUACCGUUCGAGUGUUGUCUUACUCUUCAAUCUUUUUUUAUUUUCCUCUGUUUUUGUUUCUUGGACAAAAGUUGUAUUAAAAUUAUCGUCUGCACGAUAACAACCGCAGAUGCCCGCGAGUAUGUAUGUGUAUAAUGUUGUGUAUGCAUGUGUACGUCUGUAUAUGAGUGUAUAUACAAUUUUACACGUAUAAAGUUAUCAAAAGGACGAAUUAAGGCGAGCUCGAGUCUGAACAGGACGAGUUGCUUCCCUUCCGUCGCGCGCUGUGGUGGUGUCUUCGGGAUGGUGUUCGCGAUCGGGAUCUAUGUUUCGACGAGGACUUCUUGCUUUUCUUCGAUCGAUGGGAUCGGGAACUGCUGGGGCUGUCAUGGCUGCUGGAAUGUCAACAGAAGCGAGCACAGAACAAAUUAGCGAAAAAGAUAACAGCACUGACACGUUGAUUGUUCGCGCGAGCUAUAUAUGGGUCGCGGAAGCUUGGACUCAGAGUCUGACUCAUAUAUGGGUCAGGGGUCUGUGAAAUUCAUUAUUGCUUACAAGAACUACGGACGUAUUAAUAUUCAAUAAACUAGAGAUCGUAUAAAGUAUAAUCAAACCGAAGUGAAUCGGAUUCUCGGAACUAUAUCUACAUAUCUUCUGUCAGUAGAGUUUUCAUUUAAUAAGCUGCAUUUGCUUUUCUCUUAAUUGAACGCCCAAAAUUUGCAUAGGCUUCCUAAAGUCUACUAAAUAACAGAAAAGCACAAAUCUUUUACCAGUGAAGUCAGCACUCUUCAAUCUGUCCAUCAACGAGUUGCCGCCCGUUUUCGAGUCGCACGGCUUCCCAUCGUCGAACGACGGAGAAGGAGUUGGCGAUGCGGUUCCUGCUUCUGCAACAGCUCCUCCUCCGUCAGUACCUUUGGAUUUAUAGCACCCUCGUAUAUUGUCAGCUUGUGCGCGUAAUAGCCGUGAUACUGAUGCGACAGUUCGAGAAAAUUGAAUCUCGGAUCGCCUUUAUUUUUCACGAUCGCCUCGAAGUCUCUGCCAUUUUUCGCCACAUCCGUAUGGGACCAACGGCGAAGGUGGUUCAAUUGUCGACGCAUGAGUUACAGUUACGUCGGUUGCAGAUGGUGGUACAUUUAUAACUGAAAGCUGACCAGGAGACUGUAUUUGGCCAUUUGGCCCAUAUGCCACGGGACCGUGAGAGUACUGCACGGGUGUCGGUUGAAAUAUUAGAACCAGUGCCGAGUAGACCAUCUCAAUUAUUGCAGUAAGCUUAUAAAUAUUACUUGAUAUUAAUUAUAGAGUAUUUAUCAUUUUAAUUACCGUUUGAUAUAUUUUUUUCGAAUAUAUACAUUUUUCCGAAAACAACUUACUUGUCCAGGUAUCGGAUGAUAAUAUCCGAGAGUAGGAGCCGGUGGUUGAACAGGUGUUUCAGGCGGUUGCGGAAUCUUCGAGGGUGGAGGUUUCCCUGUGAUUUUAUUUACCAGCAUCGAAUACGCACAGUCAGCAGAUGGUUUGUAUUGUAUACUGGGAAUACUGGGCGCCUGUAAAUUCAAUUUACAUUUGAUUAUAACUGACACAUAUAAACUACAUGAUCUAAAUACUCCUAAGUAACAUAAGCACAUACCGCUUCUAUCUUGGUGAAAGAUGGUGCCAGACUUGGAUGUAGAUACGAUUCGUCAUCCUGAUCCGACGAUCCUUCUUCGUGUUCUAUCAUUGAAAAGAAUACAUGUAAAUAUAACAUGCCCGUGUACAAUCGCUAAUGCUUCCUACGUAUCACACAAAGAUCGAUGUACAUUAACAAAUAUACGUAGAAGUACUUACGGCAAGAAAAACUAAGUAGAAUUCAAAGUAGAUGUGGGUAAUCAAAUCCUGUUUUAAGUCGCUUCAAUCAUUUCAACUCGAUAAUAUCAAAGUGAACAACAUUACUAUAAAAUGUUGUCUUAAAUAAAACAAUAUGCGUACCGGAUUCUUCUUUCUCAGGCUGCUUUUCAGGAUUGUACUUUCCGCUCUUGAUCGCGUCCAGUAUGUAUCUGUAAUACGGGUGAAGGCGUCCGUCUAUCGACAAAAACGAAAACUGCGGAUUGUUUGCCUGCUUCGCUUUAAUCAAGAUCUCCAUUUGGCCCCCUUGACGACUUAUGAACAAUGCCGUUUUUGUUAUGAUAGCGUUUAAUUUCUGUGUUUCCGGCUAUUAAAGAACAGAAUAUAAAUUAUAAAAAAUCCUCAUUUUUCUUGGUCUCAUUAAUUAUCGAUCUAGUACUUACCAAUGGAAUACCGUCUGGAAUUUCUAGAUCGGAUGGUGGAACGAAUGCCUGAUCCUCUUCUUGAGAACCCUCCGAUUGUUUUGGACUUUGAGAAUCUUCACAUGCAAUUUUCGAACCGUUUCCUUCCUCGUUGUAAUUAUACGCUACCUGGCUAUACGUGUUUUCUGAA